CCCAGUGAUUGCGACGCGGAUGAGCUGCAGAAGCAGAAAAUCUUCUUCAUUCCCAGAGCCAACGCAGAGCAGUGGUCACAGCAGUGGAUGCGAACCGUUAGAAAUUAUAUAAGUUAUUUAACUACCUCACACGGUGCAUGGGGUGUGUCUGUCGCCGCUGGGGAACACACUAGGAGCGGCGGUUCCUGUGCUGAGACCACUGGCCAGCUCUCAUCUACAGUGACCCAUACAUCCAGAAGCAGGUAACCAGACAGAAUGGCUGAGCCGGAGCUUCUGCUGGACUCCAAUAUUAGACUUUGGGUGGUGUUGCCCAUUGUCUUCAUCACUUUUCUGGUUGGGGUUAUACGGCAUUAUGUAUCUAUUCUCCUUCAAAGUGACAAAAAGCUGACAUUAGAACAAGUUUCUGACAGCCAGGUACUUAUUCGGAGCAGAAUUCUCAGAGAAAAUGGAAAAUACAUUCCCAAACAGUCCUUUUUGAUGAGGAAGUUCUACUUCAAUAACCAAGAAGACGGAUUCUUCAAGAAGACCAAAAGAAAGGUUGUCCCACCCUCUCCAAUGACAGGUGAGCCUUUUUUCUUUUCUUUUUUUUUUUUGAAUAAAGCGCAAGCUGUGAAAUUGUAACAACUUCUAAUUUCUAAAAUAAAAAGUGGUUGUUUAGUAUGUGGCUGAAAGACAUGGGACACGAGCAGUGUUUUCACAAAUCUUUUUAAUAACAGAUUCUCCGAAUUUCCACUUAAAGCUACGGCUGAGUCCUGGUAAAAUAAUUCAUAAAGUCUUGGCUGAUUGCAGAACUCCUUAGGUGGAAAGUGAGUUAGGAAGAAAGUUAAGAGUUUCUGAGGCAGAGGAGGAGAAAGUGCUGGAGCAAACCAGUACAGCACAAUAGAAAUUUCUCUCUUGCCUAUUAUUAUUAUCAUCAUUACUAUGAUUAUUAUCAUUAAUAUUACAGUCCCAAUCAAAAGUUUAAGACCA